CCCACCGCCACAACACUGCGGGAGGGUCGGACCUGCGCUAAUUAUCUGGAGUCUCUAAAAACCAGGAGUAAAAAAGAAAGUCUACAUAUACAAACAGGAAGUGGUUUCGGUUUAUUUACAUCUAUUGUAUACGUAUGGUGGAAAUACUAUAUAAUGUUAUGCUACUUAGCAUCUCUUCCCAACUCCACGUUCAACGAUGGACGUCUCAUCCAGCUUAAAUCAGACGUGGCGGAAGUACGGUUAACACCACGGAAAUUAGCAAACGCUGCAAAUCAGGCCCCACUCCCAGAACGAGUUGUUAAACAUUUACCAGGACGUGUGUCUGCGGAAGCCACCGUGUAGGAACAGAGAACCAGCACCAGUGGCCCGGCUAGGUGAGCUCACCAGUGAAGCCGGCAGCGUGAGUGGGGCAGGGAGCCCAGGUACCCCUAGGAGGCAGCCAGACUCCAGAGAUUCUCCAUUUAACAGGGAAGGUGGGUGAGAAAUAUUUGAUCACCAAAAGUGCGUCAGUUCCCUCUGCCUCCACUGAGGUGGACUACAAAGAUUUCUUUUGUUUAAUCCCCCGGUAGAGGUGGACCCCCAGUUACCAAGGGAGACGGGGCAGGAAACAGAGCCACCCUGCCUGAAAGAAGCCGCGGGUCCCCAGCGCCUUGUCAAUGCCUGCCCUCUAGUGGUGGGAGUGAGAAUGCAGGCCUCUGCCCUCUAGCCUUAUGGCAAGAUUCUCAAAUCACUCCCCACAUGGAGCACAGCACAGCAGGGACAAUCCUUGUGCGACAGACAAAUGGACCAUGGACAGAAGCACCUGCUUCAAACAAGAGGGUCCCAACUAUUCCCUCAGAACCUAGGCCUCCUUUGGAUACCAAGUAUUUUGUAAUAUCCUCUUACUUCCAUGAAAUGAAAAUCACACAAAAAAAGGAUCUGCCUACACACGUAAUUACAAAAAGAUUAAAUAAAUGCAUACGUAUGUUCACCAAGAGAUGUCUAUCAAAAGAAUGUUCACGCACCAUAUUCACAAUAGACGAAAACUGGAAACAACCCAAAGGCCACUUACGGUAGAAUGGAUAAAUAUGUUGUGGUAUGUCCAUAUGAUGGAAUACUAUGCAGUGAUGAGAAGGAACAAACUUCCAAUUCACACGACAGCAUGGAUGAAUCUCACAAAUAUAAUCUUCACCGAAAGAAGCCAGACUCACAAAAAAUAUGCACUGUAUGAUUCCAUUUAUAUCAAGGUCAAAGGUAGGCAAAAUUAAUGUAAGAUGUUAGAAGUUCGGAUGAUAGUUCCCUUUAGGAGGAAUUUUGACUAGAAAGGAGCAUGAAGGGACUUCCACAGUGCUGAGAAUGUUCUGUUUCUUGAGCUGCAUGCUAAUUACACAGGUGUGUUCAUUUUGCAAAAAUUAGUGCAUUAUAUACUUACGGUUUGUACACUUUUUCGAAGUACAUAAUUGUUCAAUGAAAAGUUUACUAAAAAAAAAAUCCAUUAAUCAACCAAUCCAAUGCUCACAACUAGAAUCAUUAUGACUUUGGAAACUAUAAAUGUAGAUGGAUGUAGACAUGUGGUUUUAGUGACUCAGACGCCUUGAGCAAUGUUGCUGGCUGCUACGUGAUUUUUCUGAAAUGGUGAGCUCUUGGCAAAGUGCUAAAAAAUAAAGCAUACUCUUCCCACAAUUUA